UACGUAGGGGGCAAGCGUUGUCCGGAAUUAUUGGGCGUAAAGAGCUCGUAGGCGGUUUGUCGCGUCUGCUGUGAAAACCUGAGGCUCAACCUCGGGCUUGCAGUGGGUACGGGCAGACUAGAGUGCGGUAGGGGUGACUGGAAUUCCUGGUGUAGCGGUGGAAUGCGCAGAUAUCAGGAGGAACACCAAUGGCGAAGGCAGCUCGCUGGGACGGUACUGACGCUGGAGGCGCGGAAAGCGUGGGGAGCAAACAGG
rnacentral:rRNA from 1 species